rnacentral:rRNA from 1 species
GACAGAGGAUGCAAGCGUUAUCCGGAAUGAUUGGGCGUAAGGCGUCUGUAGGUGGCUUUUAAGUCCGCCGUCAAAUCCCAGGGCUCAACCCUGGACAGGCGGUGGAAACUACCAAGCUGGAGUACGGUAGGGCAGAGGGAAUUUCCGGUGGAGCGGUGAAAUGCGUAGAGAUCGGAAGAACACCAACGGCGAAAGCACUCUGCUGGGCCGACACUGACACUGAGAGACGAAAGCUAGGGGAGCGAAUGGG